GCUCAGAUUGAACGCUGGCGGCAGGCCUAACACAUGCAAGUCGGACGGUAGCACAGAGGAGCUUGCUCCUCGGGUGACGAGUGGCGGACGGGUGAGUAAUGUCUGGGGAUCUGCCCGAUAGAGGGGGAUAACCACUGGAAACGGUGGCUAAUACCGCAUAACGUCGCAAGACCAAAGAGGGGGACCUUCGGGCCUCUCACUAUCGGAUGAACCCAGAUGGGAUUAGCUAGUAGGCGGGGUAACGGCCCACCUAGGCGACGAUCCCUAGCUGGUCUGAGAGGAUGACCAGCCACACUGGAACUGAGACACGGUCCAGACUCCUACGGGAGGCAGCAGUGGGGAAUAUUGCACAAUGGGCGCAAGCCUGAUGCAGCCAUGCCGCGUGUAUGAAGAAGGCCUUCGGGUUGUAAAGUACUUUCAGCGGGGAGGAAGGCGAUGUGGUUAAUAACCGCAUUGAUUGACGUACC
rnacentral:rRNA from 1 species